CGUCUAGCUGUUGGCAUCAUGGUCUCAGGAUUUGCCUUCGAAGAGGAUGAUUUCUUAAGACCAUGGGAAGGUCAAAGGGGAUGCUUGGAGAGAUAUGCUUUGCAAUGGGAAUCAAAAAACUUGAUUGCAGUAAGCACUGCGAUACAGGAUUGGCUGACUUCAAGCCUGACAACAGAAUUGAUGAGACAAGGUGCCAUGUUGACAGUGUUAGGUAGCCUUGUUGCUGCAUUAGCCUAGCCAUCCACAUUACUAGCAGCAACAAAUUUUAUAGAUAGCAAAUGGGCUACUGCUGU